rnacentral:tRNA from 1 species
GCCCAGGUGUUGGAAUUGGUAGACAGGCUGGAUUUAGGUUCCAGUGUCCUUGUGACGUGCGAGUUCGAGUCUCGCCCUGGGCACCA